rnacentral:rRNA from 1 species
GACGUAGGGCGCGAGCGUUGUCCGGAUUUAUUGGGCGUAAAGAGCUCGUAGGCGGCUCAUUGCGUCAACCGUGAAAUCCUGCUGCUCAACGGCAGGUCUGCGGUUGAUACGGGUGGGCUGGAGUUCGGUAGGGGAGACUGGAAUUCCUGGUGUCGCGGUGAAAUGCGCAGAUAUCUGGAGGAACACCGGUGGCGAAGGCGGCGUCCUGGACCAACACUGACACUGAGGAGCGAAAGCCAGGGGAGCAAACGGG